GAGGAGACGCUGGCGGCGUGGAUUAGGCAUGCAAGUCGAACGGUAUCAUCCUUUCGGGGGUGAGAGAGUGGCGAACUGGUGAGUAACACGUAGGUUAUCUACCCUCAAGACGGGGACAACCCAGGGAAACUUGGGCUAAUACCGGAUGUGAGCAACUUUUAGUUGUUUGAAAGGUGGCGUAAGCUGUCGCUUGGGGAUGAGCCUGCGUCCUAUUAGUUAGUUGGUGAGGUAACGGCUCACCUAGGCAAUGAUAGGUAGGCGGCCUUAACGGGUGGUCGCCCACACUGGGAUUGAGAUACGGCCCAGACUCCUACGGGAGGCAGCAGUCGAGAAUAGUCUACAAUGGUCGGAAGACUGAUAGUGCGACGCCGCGUGAACGAUGAAUCCCUUCGGGGUGUAAAGUUCUUUUAUAUGUGAGCAGUGCUUCUUAUAUUAACAGUAUGGGGAGAGAGAUAUUAGCAUAUGAAUAAGCAACGGCUAACUCCGUG
rnacentral:rRNA from 1 species